rnacentral:lncRNA from 1 species
GGGCGGAGGGGGGCAUCUGUGAUGUGGUUUUGAGAACAUUUUGGUUUUUCAUUGUGUUUCCGCCUCUGAAUUCCAAUAGUGCCUUCUUUGUACUUCUCUUACAUCAUCUUACUUGGGAAAGAGCAGAGGGUUCAGCCUUGGGAACCCUGGGUUCAGGAGAGGUUUGUGCUUCCUUACUGAUGGUUGUCCUUGGCACAGUCCCUGCGUGGUGCCAGCUCAGGACUCUCCCUGACGAAACAGGGACAAUGAGAAUCUUCUUAUCUCACAGCAUUUUUCUAAGAACCAAGCAAGAUCAUAACUGAGGAAAUUCUUGUCAAGACACAAGGCAACUUGCAAAUAUUGAUUGUUACGGUGGCAUUUCAUUUCAUACUUGGUGUUAGAUAUUCCUGAUAGACUCUUCACACCUUGAAAGCAGAGCCCUACGAUAAUCUUUUUUCUGUAUCAUUCAUGGCAUGGAGAGACAACUUAGCAAAGGAAUGCCUGGCCGUCCUGCUGGAGGGGCUGUUGAGAAUGCAGCGAACACAUUCUGCGUAGGUGACCACGUUGGCAUCUCACCUGAUUAUGAGACCCUAGUGCUGACUGUGAGGAGUGGCAGCCCAGAAACACCUGUGGGAAAGUCAUUGAAGACGAAACAGAACUGGGAGGGAGCAGAAUCUGUCUCAACACUUCCUGCCAAGCUUUCAUCCCCUCUACCCUCUGUGACUCAAUUAUCUCAUAAGGUAAUCAUACUUGCUUAUUGGUCUCAAAGGCUCAACUUUCCCUUUAUAUUGGUCCAUCUGUGUCGCUAAUUACUGAGCUGUUUCACAUAUUUUUCUAAGCUGAACUUUUCCACCUUCAACAGGAGCCCAUGGCCAGGGGACUCCUCCCUGAUUCAAUGAUGGUUUCCAUCAUGAGCACCUUGAAAGCGGAGAGGGGCUGGUCCACGAUUGCACCCAGGGUGGAGGAUGGUGGUGGAGCUGCUGUUUCAGGACUACACAUUGUUGUUGCUUAAUAAAGAUACGGGGUAUUGGAAGUUAAAUAAUGCCAGGCUUAUGAGUGUGCCAGGAAAGUAAAAAGUAUAGGUCAUGAAUCAUGAACGUGUUCAUUAAAGACCAGAUGGAAAUUUAGAGAGGUCACAUGAGCGAAGUCCUCUUGACUUGAAGUAGAAUGAGUUUCUGUGUUGCUUUUGACUCUCAAAUGUUUGGCAGGACCCAAAUUUCAAUAGGUGGC